CAGCAUACGGAAGUUCCCAGGCUAAGGGUUGAACUGGAGCUACAGCUGCCAGCCUACACCACAGCCACAGCAAUGCAGGAUCCGAGCCUCAUCUGCAACCUACACCACAGCUCCGGUGUAGCUCACAGCCAGAUCCUUAACCCACUGAGCGGGGCCAGGGAUUGAACCUGUGUCCCCGUGGAUACCUCAGUCAGGUGCGUUAAGUACUGAGCCACGACAGGAACGCUGGCAGCACCACGGCAGGGCCCAGCUCUGUACUGUGCGUGUGACAUCCGUGGGCGCGUCACUUCACAGUUCGGUGGUUGUGCUGUGCUGGGGCCAUGUCCGGGAGCCCCGGGGACACUGUGAGGGAAAAGGAGGACAGGAAGUGCUAGAAGAAUCCCAGAGAAACUAUGAGCUGAAGUCUUGGAACCAACAAAUACUUUUGCUGCUAAUCCUGAAAUCCGUAGUCACGCCCCGACGUGUCUGCCUGCGGUGCUGCUGAGGGACGCGUGGAUUACACACUGUACCAAAGUCCCUGGCUCCUUCCCUCCGUUCUGCUUCACCCCCGAAUCUCUUACUUCAAAAAAGUCUAACCUUUCCCGCCCCUUCCUUCUCCACUGUUCUUGAUGUCCAGCUCCAGGAAUCGGCCAGGACCUGUGUAGGUCUGGGUGCAGCGAGUGGCACUGUGACCUCGGGGCGUUUGUAAAGACUUGCUCAGGGAAGAAGACAGUGUGCUUCACUGCCAAUGCAUUUAGGAGCUCUUCGCUGGGGAGAGCUUGGGUUAGAAGAGAAAGCAUCCUGGAGUUCCCUGCUGGCUCAGUGGGUUAAGGAACCGGCACGGUCACUGCUGUGGAUCGGGUUCUGACCCUGGCCCUGGAACUUCCACAUGCUGGGGGCAUGGAAAAAAAAAAAAAAAAAAAAAGAGAGAGAGAGAGAGAGAAAGAAUCUUCACAAAAAAGAAUGUAAUUACAGUUUACUUGCUAACCUGGGUGUUUUACAGAUUAUUUCGCUUAGGGACCUUUGGAUAUGAGACAAGAAUUAUAUUUACUUUCCUUUAUUUCUUGGGUAACAUCUUGACUGAAAUUUAAAUAUUGGGCUAUAAAAACUUAAAAUAAUUUCUAGUGGAAAGAAAGAAAAAGGACAGGAAAAAGAGAGAGAAAGGGAGAAAAAGUGAGGGCAAGAAGGAAGGAGGGAAGGGAGGGAAAAGAGCAAGAAGGAAAAGACAAAAAAAAGCGGGAGGGAGGAGUGAGCAGGCUUCUCAAAUCAAAGCUCCUUCUUCUGGAGUUCCCACUGUGGCACAGUGAGUUAAGAAUCAACUGCAGCUGCUCAGAUCAUUGCACAGGUUCAAUCUCCGGCCUGGAGCAGUGGGUUAAAGGAUCUGGCGCUGCUGCAGCUGUGGCAUAAGUCACAGCUGUGGCUUGGAUUCAAUUCCUGGCCCAGGAACUGCCAUAUGCCACAGGUGUGACCAUGAAAAAAAUAAUAAAGAAAAAAGUCCUGGAGUUCCCAUGGUGGCUCAGUGGUUAACGAAUCCGACAAGGAACCAUGAGGUUUUGGGUUCGAUCCUUGGCCUUGCUCAGUGGGUUAAGGAUCCCGCGUUGCUGUGAGCUGUGAUGUAGGUCACAAACGUGGCUCAGAUCCCGAGUUGCUAUGGCUCUGGUGUAGGCCAGCAGCUACAGCUCCAAUUCGACCCCUAGCCUGGGAACCUCCAUAUGCCGUGGGAGCAGCACAAGAAAUCGCAAAAAAAAAAAAAAAAAAAAAAGUCCUUUUUCUGGGGGAGGUCACUUGGGGUCCCUUAAUCAAAAUCUUUGAUGUGUUGUCUUUUGAGAUAAUUGUUAAUAUUACAUUCCUACAAGUGACUCCAUUUGAGGAUGUUAAUCCUUAUUAUAUACGCAUUUUAAAUCUUAUUUUAAAUCUUGUCUCUCUCCAUUUGUCAGGAAAAAAACUGGCAAGGGUAGGAGUGACUCGUUGCGAUAAUUUCUUCUAGCCCUGUACUAUUUCCCUGGCAAUAUGAAUACCAUGGAAUUCUAUCUGUUUGGGCAGAACGUCUAUGUUCUUUUAUUAUUAUUUUUAGUAAACUAUAUAUACCCAGAGUUCAUAUGGAGGCUUCAGUUCUUGAAAAGAACUGAGGACUCACUAAGAUUUGUUCUCUCUGUACUUGGUCCCAUUGAGUAUGGGGAUUCAUUCUUCUCCUGGCAUAGGGUUAACAAAAGCAGGGACAAAGCCCAAUGCAGUCCAUCCAGAUGAAUAAGGUAAGAUGCCAAAGAAAACUUAUAGUUUGGUUGUCCUGGAUCUCAUGAAUGUAAAGUUUAUUUUUACCACCACCAGAACCAUCAGAUGCAUCCUUUUAAAAGGGAAACAGGAGAUUUCAGACACACAGAAAGGAGAAGGCAGUGAGACCUGAGAAGCAGAGACUGAGUGAUGUGGCUACUGGUCCAGGAAGGCUGGCCCUCUCAAAUAGUCCUUCAGCAGGAAUGUUUUCUAUCAGCACGCUCCAAUGGCUGUAGUGAGCCAUCCUAGAACGACGUGGCGCAAAUCUUACUACAAAAGCCAACACCAAAGAAUGCACGGCAAAAACAAAUAAACCACCACCAACAAAAAAUCAAUCUGGGUCCUUAAUAGCGUCACUGAGCCACUUAACCACCCCUGAAGGCAUCCUACCUCAGGACAGACUAUACAAGAGUAACUGAUUCUCCCUCCUGGUAUGAGACAUUAUUCAAGCCAGUUAGAUGGGAGUUUUCUGUUAUUGCAGCAGAAAGCAUCCCAACAGAUGGAAAAGCAUUGCUUUUUUAAAUGAGAAAAUACUUUUUUAAAGAAUGCAGCUGUCACCCUAUGGUCUUACUCUCUCUGCCCCUUGGUCACAUCUGGAAUAGAUGUUAUCACUGAGGUUAAUGCUAAGCAUCACUAUUUUAAAUAGGCCACACUUUAAUUUAAAAAAUUACUUUCAUCUUCAUUUAAUAUCCUACCAGCUUGCAUGUUUCUUGGGUUAGAGAAAAUAAUUAUACAUUAGAAUUUUUAAGGCUUAUUGCUGAAUACAUAAACCUUAGACCUGACACAACUAGAGGAAGAACAAACCCAAAGGGAAUAGAAGGGAAAAAAAUCAUAAAGAUCAGAGCAGAAAUAAAUGAAAUAGAGCCAAAGAAAACAAAUAAGGUCAAUUGAAAUUAAGUUAUUUGAAAAGAUAAAUAAAAUUGAUAAACCAGACUCAUCACAAAAAACAAAAAACAGAGAGGGCUCAAAUCAAUGAAAUUAGAAAUGAAAAAGGAGAAGUUACAACUGACUCCACAGAAAUACAAAGGAUCAUAAGAGACUAGAACAAACUAAGAAGUAUGGACAACACCAAGAAAUGGACACAUUCUUAGAAAGGUACAAUCUUCCAAGACUGAACCAGGAAGAAACAGAAAAUAUGAACAGACCAAUCACAAGCACUGAAACCAAAACUGAUUUAAGGAGGGCCCGUCGUGGCACAGCAGAAAUGAAUCCAACUAGGACCCAUGAGGUUGCGGGUUCGAUCCCUGGCCUGGCUCAGUGGGUUAAGGAUCCAGCAUUGCCAUGAGCUAGGGUGUAGGCUGGCAGCUGAAGCUCCGAUUAGACCCCUAGCCUGGGAAUGUCCACAUGCCGCAGGUGUGGCCCUAAAAAAGCAAAAAAUAACUGGUCUCAGCCCGUUUUACACGGUCAGUGCCCAGGAGGCUGACCUUGGACAUAAACUGACUACAGGCUCUUGCCUUCUGACUUCCUGUUGGCUUGUCAGCGGUUACACACUGCUCCGCAGGCCGAUGUGGGCUAGUGUGACGCUUGACCCAAAGUUGCAGCAACUGGCAGAUCCCAAACUUUACGAAGUUUUCUGUCUGAGGUUGAGUCCUGGCAGAGGUGCCAGCUCAGGCCCAGGGAGAUGGUGGUCCUGCCCCGUUACUUACCUGCACUGCAGCAUCAUUCCUUGAGAUUCCUUACACUCUGCUUUUACACCUUUGCUAGCAGUGCCUUUACUGAUAUUCUUCUGUAAGGACUCUGAACCCUUCAGUUGGCACCACUUUCCUAAUUUUACAAAUGUGAAAGCGGAGGCAGGAGGCAUUGAGAAACUUCUCAGAGGAGUUCCCGUCAUGGCUCAGCAGAAACAAAUCUGACUCGCAUCAGUGAGGACGCAGAUUUGAUCCUGGCCUCGCUCAGUGGGUUAAAGAUCCAGUGUUGCCGUGAGCUGUGGUGUAGGUCACAGAUGUGGCUUGGAUCUGGCAUUGCUGUGGCUGUGGUGUAGACCAGUGGCUACAGCUCUGAUUCGACCCCUCAUCUGGGAACCUCCAUAUGCUGUGGGUAUGGCCCUAAAAAGACCAAUAAAUAAAUAAAUUAAAUAAAACAGAAUCUUGUCAGAAAUCAUGCAGCUAUUGUAUGCCCAGGCCCAAAUGCACAUUUGAGUUUAAAGCCAGAGCUUGUAACUAUUGUCGCCCCAAGAGAUGUUCUUUGUUGGAGAUUGCACUGGCCACACGGCUUCACACAAGAAAUCCUAAAACUUUGCAGGAAGGCCUGGCAUCUGGAGGCUGACUGCUUGGGGUGUAUGGAAAUACACACUGCCUUUGUGACAGUUAUUAAAGCCAUUCACCCAAUAUUUCCAAGUCUUCUUUCAGGGACUCGUCUGAACUCUUCCAUCUCCUUAGAGCUGGGCGUGACCACGCCACUUUCUUUGGCUGGUGGAGGCGGGGAGAAGUGGCACUUCCAGGAGAAAUCGCCCCGAACCAGUGUGUGACUCCUCUCUAGUCUCCACCCCCAGCAACUGCGGCGAUGACUGACGGCAUCCCCUUCAGCCCGCGGUUCUGAGUUUGGCUGACAGAGGAUCAGCACUCCUCCCACCCGACCCACAAGAGGCACCUAAAUUAGGGAAAAGCUUCUCUGAGCCACUGAGACUUGGGGGCUGUUACGCCAGUAUAACCAAGCCUAACUCCCUGCUGCAGACGGAAGUGUAGGUAGAAGACACUGGAUCUGGGGGAGAGAUGUUAACGGGAUUAAAAUAGGGCUCAUAUCUCAAAGAACACCGAGCACUGUGAGGUACUGGGGUGGAUAUGAAACAUGUCCUCACUACCAUAAAAUCAGCGUCCACACCAUGACACCUCAGUGAACAAGGACCAAAAUCCCUCCUCCCUUCGAGAAGCUGCGGCUGGAAGGAAAAUUAAGGAAGACGAUGCCCAACUCCCCCCUUCUCAGUGAAUAUUCCACCUAUUCAUUUGAAUGCCCCUCAUAGCCAGCGUGCCAAAGAGGUGAACUGCUCACGUAAAUAAAUCCUCACUU
rnacentral:lncRNA from 1 species